CCAGACUCCUACGGGAGGCAGCAGUGGGGAAUAUUGCACAAUGGGGGAAACCCUGAUGCAGCGACGCCGCGUGAGCGAAGAAGUAUUUCGGUAUGUAAAGCUCUAUCAGCAGGGAAGAAAUUGACGGUACCUGAGUAAGAAGCUCCGGCUAAAUACGUGCCAGCAGCCGCGGUAAUACGUAUGGAGCAAGCGUUAUCCGGAUUUACUGGGUGUAAAGGGAGCGUAGGCGGCCUGCCAAGUCUGAUGUGAAAUGCCGGGGCUCAACCCCGGGGCUGCAUUGGAAACUGGCAGGCUGGAGUGUCGGAGAGGCAGGCGGAAUUCCUAGUGUAGCGGUGAAAUGCGUAGAUAUUAGGAGGAACACCAGUGGCGAAGGCGGCUUACUGGACUGUAACUGACGUUGAGGCUCGAAAGCGUGGGGAGCAAACAGGAUUAGAUACCCUCGUAU
rnacentral:rRNA from 1 species